GCCUUCUUAGCGCAGCGGGCAGCGCGUCAGUCUCAUAAUCUGAAGGUCCUGAGUUCGAGUCGAGUUCGAGCCUCAGAGAGGGCA